UCGAUUAGUUCAUUAUAAUUCGAAGGGGAAUGAGCAGUAAAAUACAAGCAAAGCAACACACAAAUGUGGCACGAAUAAACAUUUUCAAGUACCUAAUAAAACGGAGAUUUUUAAAUAAAUCAUAAGCAAUAGGAAUUUGUUAGGUGGGGCAGGUCGGGUUAAGAUCGGUUAAGCCCCGGGCGUCCGAUCUUGGAAUACCAAGCUGGGGCCAUGUUUGAGACGGGCAUGGAUUUCAAGCUUGGGGAUAUAUAGGGUGAAUGAACCUUGCUAGCCUAUGCCCGGUCAAGCUGAAUUGAAUAUCCUGAGUUCAAGCUUGGAAUACCUUGGACCAUACUCAGGGUAGCUUUAGAUCCCAAGCUUGGACUCGUGCGGUACCAUCAAGCUGGGAAAUACCUUGGUCAUCUAUGCCCAACCAAGCUAUGCUCAGAACAAGCUUGAGUAAAUAUCUUGAGUUCAAGAUUGGAAUAGGAAGCUCGAUCCAUGCUUGGAUUGCCUUGGUAACAUAUGCCUGAACAAGCCCGGUUAAGCGUCUAGAGUUCAUGCUUGAAAUAUCAAGCUUGGAGAAUGCUUGGCGCAGACUCAGAUUCAAAGCUUGGACACGUAUGGCAUCACCAAGUUUGGAUUUACCUAGGUAUAUCCAUAGCAUCGAGCUUGUUCAGAGCUAGGUAUGCCAAGGCUAGGCAAUCUUAGCUUCUGCCACGCAUGAUCCUAUCGUUGAAGUUUGAAAUUUCUCACCUGGGAUGAGGGAGAGCCAAGACAUAGCGAGAGAAAUAGUUUUCAUCUUUGUCCUUUUCCUAUCAAACGGGCCGGUUCAAUGGGAAUUAAUUACCGUUCGACCAUUGCUUGGGUGCUGAUAUAACUGUCAGGCAAUUGUAAACACGGACUUAAACAAUAAAUUGAAAUUUAACAAAUCUAA